CACAAAUUCAGUCGCAGUAAUUCGUCGGCGUCAACAGAGCACGUACCUCGCAGAUCUUCUGUCCUUACCAGCCAGGUGCAGCAAAAUGAGGUCGGCGCUGCUUGUUUUUGUCCUGGCUUUAGCUGUCGCCACUCCUUGCAUCACGCACCCCACAAGUGAAACCAAACAGAAGGACGCAGAAGAGAACUCACUCAAACAAGAUGGACGUGCUUUAGAAACGCUGGGAAAGAUUUUGCAAGGAAAAGAUACCACGGCUGAAGGGCGUACAGCUCUUGCUGAACUAGCGAGUCAACUAAGGGCCUUCCAUGGCACAGACACCCAACUGGAUGAGAAUGCCUCUGAGUACUUCUUCAAGAAGAUCCGGAGGGUGGUCGAGAACGUGGCUAAAGUAGUUGUAGUAAACAAAGGUGCUGCUGCCGUCGGUGGAAUGAUUGGAUAACGAUGAUUAGUAAGAGGAAUCUGCAUCUUCGCUGUAUAAAUUAUAUGUAUUG